AGAUACUCAACGAAAACGAUGGGAGUGGGGUUAACUCCGAGGCAUCAUCCAUUGUUACUGAGGCUAAGCUAGUUCCAUGUUCAGAUAAAGGAGAACUCAAUACAAAGAAGGCCUCUUCGGCAGACAUAAAUGAUGAAGAUAUAUCAGAGGCGGCAACAGAUGACACAAUCCAAAAGGACGAUGUCGCUGAAGUCGAGGGAGAUGAGUAAACUCAUUGUCCCGACGGCGUACACAACCUAUACAAGCUUACAAAUUAAGAAAACAAAAAUAAACUAGCAUAUUCUACCAUAGAGAAGACAUUUUUAUUGAUGUAAAAAUAUACCAACAUUUUUGUUAGGUAAUGUUUCGCCUGAAAUUUAAAA